GGGGAUUUAGCUCAGUGGUAGAGUGCUUGCCUAGCAAGCACAAGGCCCUGGGUUCCGUCCCCAGCUCCG
rnacentral:tRNA from 1 species